rnacentral:rRNA from 1 species
UACGUAGGCAGCAAGCGUUGUUCGGAGUUACUGGGCGUAAAGGGUGCGUAGGCGGCUUCUUAAGUCUGGUGUGAAAUCUCCCGGCUCAACUGGGAGGGUGCGCCGGAUACUGAGGGGCUAGAGUGUGGGAGAGGAAAGUGGAAUUCCCGGUGUAGUGGUGAAAUGCGUAGAUAUGGGAGGAACACCAGUGGCGAAGGCGACUUCCUGGCCUGUUCUUGACGCUGAGGCGCGAAAAGCUAGGGGAGCAAACGGGG